AAUUAUGAUGAAGGUGGCGAAAGUGACAAUGUACUGGUGUCGACGAUAACAAUAUGCUACGAUGUACUGGUGCUAGCGAUAGGGACAUAUAAGAAAGAAUAUUACUAAAAAUAAUAUUUGAGAAAAAUAUAGGUGAAAAUAAAAAAGAUAUUACUAAAAAAAUAUGUCUACAAAAAAAUAUAUUCUGUGUGUGAAUAAAUAUUAUGAUGAGAUAAAGAUUGGAUAGUGUAGAUAUUAUAUGCGAGUGCAUUAAGAUAUGUUCUAUAUUUGAAAAACGCAUAAGAUAUUUUGGAGGAUAUUAUUUUUGAAUAUUUUACUAAUAAAAAUUUAAAAAUAUAAAAUUAUAUUUAAUUAAUAAUUUAGUUUUUCAGGUGGGUAUUAAAUCUUUUUAGUAAUAUUUUACGUGAUUGGCGCUAUGUGUGAGAAAGAAAAUAUUUGAAAAACACGUAAAUAGGAGAUAACGGAUAUUUUAAUUUAGAAAAAACUUCAAAAACCCCCCUAUGGUUUCGCAGUUUCUCACUUUGCCCUCCUAUGGUUUAAAAUGUAUCAAUUUGCCCCCCUGUGAUUUUUUUUCCUUUUUUCUUAUCAAUUUCAUUAUUUUUUUUUAAAUUAGUGAUAAAGUUAAAAUUAAAGGGUACUAAAGUGAAUAUUUGAUAAAUCUAGAUGGGUAUUUGAAGUUUUUUAUAUAUAAUUUAAUGAAAUAUUAACGAAAAAGCUACCGAAAAGAUAAAAACCAAACCACAAGGGGGCCAAUUGAAACAUGUUAAACCAUAGGGGGACAAAGUGAGAAACUACAAAACCACAGGGGUUUUUUUGAAGUUUUUUCUUUAAUUUAUGAAGCGUUUGAGAAAGGCCAAUUUGCAUAAAAAAUCCACUUAUUUUGGGCUUUUGCAAAAUCGGGCCAUCUUUUUGGUUUUGGCAGAUUCGGUCCGCUUUUUCAGCAAACUGACCAAAAUACCCUUAUACCUUUUUCUCUUUCCUCUUUCUCUCUCCUCUUUUUUUCUCUCGUUCUUUUUUCUUUUUCUUCCCAGAGAGCGGCGAAAACGGAGCAGAGGUGCCCUUAUACCUUUUUCUUUUCUUUUUUUUCUCUCGUUCUUUUUUUUCUUUCUCUUCCUAGAGAGCGGCGAAGACAGAGCGGCGUCGCCGCCGGCGCCCCCACCUUCCUCGCCUCC
rnacentral:lncRNA from 1 species